UGCUUGGUCUUUGAGCCGAACAGGUGGCCUCUAGUCUGGUGGCUUCGGGGAUGUUGUCCGUAAAGGUGGAUGAGUGGUGUUUGGUUUGUUACGUGUGGAUGGCUGCGGCGUUUGCUUUGAACUUCCAUGCUUCAGACCUCUUCAGUUGUGCGACAAGGCUUGUAUCGCCUUGAGCGUAUUGCGGGUUUUCUGUGCUGAAUACCUAACCAAUGGUAUCGGUUGGAUUGAUCAACGUUUGAUUUCGUCUUGCGUUGCAUUCGCGACGUGAGGUGAACCUCAAAGCGGUCUCUUUGAUCCACCUUCUUGAGGCGCAUGCUUCGACAUUGUGGCGCAUUGAGCAUUGCUUGGUUUCUUGCAUACGGAACAUAUAGUGGGCAUGGAUCCUAGCGAUUCUUGUUUGCCCUCAUACUAGCGUAUCGCUUCUCUAACACGACUUGUGCCACGUUUUAGCUCGUACGGACGUGGUGCUA
rnacentral:misc_RNA from 1 species